rnacentral:rRNA from 1 species
AUUGAACGCUGGCGGCAUGCUUUACACAUGCAAGUUGAACGGCAGCGCGGGCUUCGGCCUGGCGGCGAGUGGCGAACGGGUGAGUAAUAUAUCGGAACGUACCCAAGAGUGGGGAUAACGUAGCGAAGUUACGCUAAUACCGCAUACGAUCUAAGGAUGAAAGCAGGGGAUCGCAAGACCUUGUGCUCCUGGAGCGGCCGAUAUCUGAUUAGCUAGUUGGUGGGGUAAAGGCCCACCAAGGCAACGAUCAGUAGCUGGUCUGAGAGGACGACCAGCCACACUGGAACUGAGACACGGUCCAGACUCCUACGGAGGCAGCAGUGGGGAAUUUUGGACAAUGGGGGGCAACCCUGAUCCAGCAAUGCCGCGUGAGUGAAGAAGGCC